UUUUUUUCCUUUUUUUUUUCUCUUGUUUUUCUUAUAAAAUAAUAGUGGAAAAUAUCUUACUCCCCUUAUAUCUACUUUUUGUCUAGUCUAUGUUGUUUUGUGUGUAUAUAUUAGUGUCGUCAAACACGCGCCUAAGGAGCAAGCCGCAAGCCUCAAGGCCUCAAGAAGCAAAAGGCGAGCAAUAUUGGUGUGCCUCAGACACAUUUAACUAAACUCGUUUCUUUUUUUAACUCUAACCUAGUACCAAUUCAGUAAUACACUAAUCAUAUCAGCACAAUACCUCUCACUGGGCAAACAAGAAGAAGAAGAAGAUGCUGCUACCCGUUGGAGUGUUUGAACUAGGUAUGCUAUUUACUUGUUAAUUUCCUUCUUCCUUUCCUCCUACCUUCCCCAACCACUUGGGUUUUUCUUUAAUUCUUUCUCGACCUUUCUUUUCCUUCUGCUUUCCUUCUCUACUCCUUCCAUUUCUCUCUCCCCAUUGGCACCAAACGGAUGAUGAAGAUGUAGGAAAUGAAGAAGAGAAUUUCGACAAAGAAGAAGAUGAUGUUGUUCUUAAUGAAGAAUAGUUAUUUUAUGAUAGCUUAACUUUUGAAACGUUAUAGUUUUCAAGAAAUUAGUAUCUUAGUAGUUUCUGUUUAUUGGAUUGCAUAAGUAUUGCUACUUAAAUGCUUAUUAUUAUCUUUAAUUUUUUAUUUUAUUUUAAUUUUAAUGGAUUAUUU
rnacentral:misc_RNA from 1 species